UGACCUCAAAUCAGGUAGGACUACCCGCUGAACUUAACAAUAU
rnacentral:rRNA from 1 species